AUUGUAAAGCAUUUUUUCGUGUAUUUUUUUUAAAUAUUCCCUUUAAAAUAGUCGUAAAGACUAUUUUAAAACUUAGAACUUGAGAACUUAGAGCAUAGUUCAAGUGUUCAACGGACAGGAUCGAACCCAUGACCUCUAGUUAGAGUCCAGGCGCAUAACCGUUGAGCUAAUUAGGCAUAAUCUUAUUACCAGCCUGACUUAUAUAUCGAAUUUUUAUAUUCGUAAAAGGUCAAAUUCAAAAGCAUAAUAAUAUGCCAAAGCUUAUGGUCAUUGGCACGCCGCAAAAUACAACACAACACACGAGUAUGUAGCAGAACCAGUUUAGUUCAGGCAGUUCAUAUCAGAGUGUCGUCAAUACUACAACAGCUAAGUUGUUUUUAUUAAUUCUACCUACGAUAUUUUUGUUUACCUGGUCAACUACUAAAAAUCAUGAUUUCUCCGUACAAAGUGUUGGUGCGAAUUGUCCUGUUGGUCUGCCUGUUUCUGCUCGUAAACGCAAACGUUGCGAUACCGAAGGAUAGCUGCCCUGACGGCUUUAGACCUAUAAAAGUUGGAGGAUCACCGAUUUGUGUAAAAAAUGAGCCUAAAAACGAAUAGUAACCUAAGUACCAGAAGGUUUUCGUCGGUAAUUCAACUGACGUAUUAUUUUAGGUGAAAUUAAAAAUUUAUUUUAAUAUGUACUCAAAUUGUUCAACUAUUUAUUAAUUAAGUAGUAGUUACCUUUAAAAAAAACUGUUUAAAAAAGAUUUUUUUAAUUCAUUGUUUUUUUUUAUUCUCUAAAUAUAUUUGAAAUUAUAUUUGCUAAAAUCAACAUGUUUGUUUCUAGAACCUUGGAUAUGUCGAAUCCUCCGACCCAUUGAGACGGUUUCCAACUUCUCCCGCAUUUUAUUGUUCGUUCAUUGUUAAUGAUAAAACAAAAGACAAAAAGUUAAAGGUAACAUCUAAGGUACGCUACAGACGUAGACCACGGCAUUACCUUUAUUUAACCGAGUAUUAAAAUACCUACAUACCAUUAUAGGCAGUGUACUUUAUACAUGCAAAAAUGCACUGCCUAUAAUGAGGAAUCAGUACAAACCAGUAUUGGGGAAUUUUUCAUUAGGUACGUAUAAUUUGUACAUACACUGCCUACCCUACUUAAAAACGUUGUGCACGGCACUGCUAUACUAAUAUUAUAAAUGUGAAAGUGUAAUUUUUUUAUUGUACCUAGAUUUGUCUUCGGGCUCAGAAAAUAUUUAUUCAUGACUAUAAUCAAACUUAAAAAAAUAUUAGAUAGGUAAUAUAGCGUAUCUUGGUGGUAGGGUGGGGUUUUCCUUCCAAGCCAUUUUCCAGACGAUGGUGUGUCCGAUAACCAAUACAUCGCAAAAAUUUGUCCGCCAAGGUCAUCACUUGAUUUUAAUUAUCUUUAUUUAUACAUACAUUUAAUUAAGCAAAAAUCGGCGCAAAAGUUGUAAAUGUUUGUAAUAAAUAUUAUAAGAGUUUGUUUG